UACGGAGGGUGCAAGCGUUAUCCGGAUUCACUGGGUUUAAAGGGUGCGUAGGAGGGUAGGUAAGUCAGUGGUGAAAUCUUCGAGCUUAACUCGGAAACUGCCGUUGAUACUAUCUAUCUUGAAUACCGUGGAGGUGAGCGGAAUAUGUCAUGUAGCGGUGAAAUGCUUAGAUAUGACAUAGAACACCAAUUGCGAAGGCAGCUCGCUACACGAAUAUUGACUCUGAGGCACGAAAAGCGUGGGGAGCAAACAGG
rnacentral:rRNA from 1 species